rnacentral:rRNA from 1 species
ACGAUAGCUAAUACCGCAUAAUAUCUUUGAUUGCAUGAUUGAAGUUUGAAAGAUGCAACUGCAUCACUACCAGAUGGACCUGCGUUGUAUUAGCUAGUAGGUGAGGUAAAGGCUCACCUAGGCGACGAUACAUAGCCGACCUGANAGGGUGAACGGCCACACUGGGACUGAGACNCGGCCCAGACUCCUACGGGAGGCAGCAGNAGGGAAUCUUCGGCAAUGGGGGCAACCCUGACCGAGCAACGCCGCGUGAGUGAAGAAGGUUUUCGGAUCGUAAAGCUCUGUUGUAAGAGAAGAACGUGUGUGANAGUGGAAAGUUCACACAGUGACGGUAACUUACCANAAAGGGACGGCUAACUACGUGCCAGCAGCCGCGGU